AGGAGCCAGGCUCAGUGUUGGUGUCUCAGAAGGCAAUACUCUCGGGGGCUCUCCACCAUGGCCUGGGCUCUGCUCCUCAUCACCCUCCUCACUCAGGGCUCAGGUUCCUGGGCCCAGACUCCCCUUACUCAGCCUCCCUCAAUGUCUGGGUCUCCUGGACAAUCUGUCACCAUCUCCUGUGCUGGAAGCAGCAGUGACGUUGGGUAUUGCAAUUGUGUCUCCUGGUACCAACAACAACCGGGCACAGCCCCCAAACUCCUGAUUUAUGAUGUCAGCAGUCGGCCCUCAGGGAUCCCUGAUCGCUUCUCUGGCUCCAAAUCCGGCAACACGGCCUCCCUGACCAUCUCUGGGCUCCAGGUUGACGAUGAGGCUGACUAUUACUGUGCUUCAUAUAGGAGUACUAACAAUGUUCCACAGUGGUGCAAGUUCAUGAGGAAGUGA